rnacentral:lncRNA from 1 species
CCAACUAGACGGGAUCUAUGCCCGUUGGUCUCCUAACAUAAACGAAGUCGCAACUGGGGGGCUCUUCCUGCCGACCGAACGAACCGAGCAUCUCAGAGAGCUCGCAACCAGGACCUGGGCGACCGGGAGCCCGACGAGUCAUCCCGGGCUGGGGAGGUCACCAAGCUCAAAAAUCCUCAUGCAAAAAAAGAGCGCAAAGAGCUCACACCACAAGACACCAAACAGCCUCCUGAGACUACUACCCUCCUCCGCCUCUCCCUCCCUGGGCUAGUCCAGGGGAGAUAGCCCCCGUCGGGGGGGUAACACCGCACAAGUCCGCGCCCUUCCACAGCACUGGGUCUAACUUGAAAAGUACUCAAACGGGAAGACCCUGCGGCAACGCAGGGCGAUCAAGCCUCUGGAAACCACAGGGGGGGAGGGUAGCCAGCUCGGCGCCCCCCCAAUACCGCUCUACCAAGACGGCUGGUUCCCAAGAUCCUAUCUCACCUAGACGCCGCAACACGAAAAACCCGGUCCUUUACCCUGAAGAACCUAGUCCUGCACCACGCGCGCACCUUCGAGUACGGCCCCUCCUUCUGGGUGCCCACCUCCCCCUCAUCCGCGCCCUCGCUACGGCCACCUGUUUCCACUCACCACCCCGCAACCCUACAUCCUCUUGGUGCUAUCUCUGCCUCUUCCCCUCCCCCCCCGGCUCUCCCCGCCCUUUCCCCGGGCUCCCCCCCCUCCGCCG